UACGUAGGGCGCAAGCGUUGUCCGGAAUUAUUGGGCGUAAAGAGCUCGUAGGCGGCCUGUUACGUCUGCUGUGAAAUCCCGGGGCUUAACCCCGGGCGUGCAGUGGAUACGGGCAGGCUGGAGGCAGGCAGGGGAGAGCGGAAUUCCCGGUGUAGCGGUGAAAUGCGCAGAUAUCGGGAGGAACACCGGUGGCGAAGGCGGUUCUCUGGGCCUGUACUGACGCUGAGGAGCGAAAGCGUGGGGAGCGAACAGG
rnacentral:rRNA from 1 species